CAUUGAUUUUGGUCCAAUCAUAGCAUUGCCGGUCAAUGCUUUCGGUGGCUACCGGCAACGUGGCAUCGGACCUCCAAUUCAAACAAUAUAUAAAGACAUGUAUAGUUCAAACCUCAGAAACCCGUUUCAAAUCGCUCACACAAUGGAGCAACGGAGCCACAAAAUCCCUAACAAUGAACUCUAAGAUUGCAGGGAAUCAGAGGAACGAGGAUUGGUGGGUACAAAAUUGGCAAGUACAUAGAGAGGCCUCACACUAACACUACCAUUUACAAAAAAUACUUUAGACAACCUUAUAUUAUUGUUGUUAUGUUGAUCUUUGCUAUUUCAAUUCAAAUGGCUUUACUAUAAACACAUUGUCACUAUGGAGACUACAAAAGAAUACAAAGUUACACAUCAAUUUAAUAAUUGCAUUCAUUUUCUCUAUACAAUCUAUUCAGAAACACAAAAAUAAUGUGAUGAUUGUGAUUAUGAUUAUGAUUUUUAUAAAUACCUAGAUAACCAUCAAACCAAUUUUCUAUUCAUUACCUAACACAGCAGCUAGAGCUUUUUUACAAUCAAAAGAUGCCAAUGGACUAAAAGAUUGAGCCGUGACAUAAUCAAUACAGUAUUUCAUCCAUUUAGCUAAAAUUGAAUCAGAAACAUCAUCCAAAUACAGAAGCUAAAUAUACCCCACACACAAAAAAAAGAAAAAAAAAAAAAGAAAU